UCAUAGCUCAAUUGGUUAGAGCACUAGUCUUUUAAACUAGGGGUUGAAAGUUCAAGUCUUUCUGGGAUUACACCA
rnacentral:tRNA from 1 species